rnacentral:tRNA from 1 species
AUUCAAAUAGCUUAAAAAUAGAGUAUAACAUUGAAGAUGUUAGGGUAAUUAUAUAAUUUUUGAAUA